rnacentral:rRNA from 1 species
GGAUUAGAUACCCUGGUAGUCCACGCCGUAAACGAUGGUUACUCGCUGUUGGCGAUAUAAUGUCAGUGGCCAAGCGAAAGCAUUAAGUAACCCACCUGGGGAGUACGUUCGCAAGAAUGAAACUCAAAGGAAUUGACGGGGGCCCGCACAAGCGGUGGAGCAUGUGGUUUAAUUCGAUGAUACGCGAGGAACCUUACCAGGGCUUAAAUGCAUAUUGACAGGGCUGGAAACAGCUUUUUCUUCGGACAAUUUGCAAGGUGCUGCAUGGUUGUCGUCAGCUCGUGCUG